GCCGAGGUAGCUCAGGGGUAGAGCAAUUCACUCGUAAUGAAUAGGUCAGGGGUUCAAAUCCCCUCCUCGGCUCCA
rnacentral:tRNA from 1 species